AAGACACAGCAUCACCAAGGAGACAGAGCCUGAGUGAAUCAUGAGAAGAAGUGUCAGGCCUGAGUGAGGAGCUUUCUGCAACAUAACUGACCUGUCAGCUCCCGGAGGGUCAAGGUCCCAGGAACUGUCCCAGUCUAAAUCAUACUGAAGACGCCUUAGCUCAGUGCAGUGCCUGACUCUGAUCUGAAGGUCUUGCUUGCUGAAGGACAUGGUUGGGACAACUGGCAAAACCUAAAAGGACGUGCGUGAUUAUUUAACUAGGAAUGUCAGACACUGUUCCUUGAAACACUUUCUGGGGAAAAGCUACAGGCCUGUGGUGACUGAAAACAGACAGCAAGGUGGCGUGUCCUAAAGACGCACGAGGCAAGGGAGGGCUGGCUGGCAGACCUCCCUCUGUCACUACAGCCAUCCUGCAGGCUCCCCCCAACCAUCCUGCUGUCAACCUGGGCACUGGGAGACCUUAGAAAUAACUUUUGCCCACUUGGAAAGGAGCCGGUCAAUUAUCAGGAGCCAUCUGUAUUUGGGUGUUGCUGUCUGUUUCCUCACGCCUCUAUGACCAGGAACUGCCUCGGCCUGUGCUGUGCUGUCUGUGUGCUUGAGAUAUUUUGCAGACCCUGCACUUGAUGGAUCAGCUGGAUUGAUAAACUGGCUCCUCCGAUCUUGUGGCCCCCACCCUGGAACUGACUGAGCGCAAGAAGACAAUUUCCACUCCCUGUGAUUUCAUCCCUGACCAAUCAGCACUCCUGGCUCCCUGGCUUCCCCCACUCACCAAAUUAUCCUUAAAAGCUCUGCUCCCCUAAUGCUCGGGAGACUGCUUUGAGUAAUAAUAAAACUCUGGCUCCCGCACAGCCGGCUCUCCGUGAAUUACUCUUUCUCUACUGCAAUUUCCUUGUCUUGCUGUGUCGGCUCUGUCUAGGCAGCGGGCAAGGUUUAACCCUUUGUGCAGUUAUAGAGUGUUUUCUGUCUUCAGCAUUGUUUUUAGCUCGCACCACCCACCCCUGAGUGGGAAGGGAAGUGGUCCUAAGUCUUCUCAGUGUCUCGUGUGGGU